CAGUGCUUGAUGUUUUACCUAUUAUAAUAGUUAAGCUCACUGAUCCUACUGAAAUACUUAUGUCACUGAUCUUCUCUUCCGGGUGUUCAACAACUAAAGUUUGGAGACUAAAACUAGAAAAGUAACUGGGCUAUGAGGACGGCCAAUAUUUUGGCCCUGGCCCCUCAAGGUCAAUAAAGAAUCCAGGACAUGAGAGAACCUUUUCUACAGGAUCCUACAUCUUUGAGGCUGCCAAACUCCAAGCAGUUGUACAAAUGGAACCAAUGACAAAUGUGCUAGACUUCUUUUACUGGGAUUCAGAAGAUCGACCUUGUAAACAGCUCAUAACUGCUAAACUAUACAAUACGACUCCUAUGUUGGAUUCUGAAGUCCCCUGGACCUUCUCCUUAUCCUCUUUGUGGGAGGCUACCACUAGUUUCUCCUGGUGGAAACCAUUGUUGGCUAUAUUCAUAGCAAUCCUGCUGACCUUAUAAUUUGGCCCAUGUAUUAACUGUUUCUUUGGCUUUGUCUCCUCCAGACUCAAAGCUAUAUGGCUACCAAGAUGACAAUGCCUGGCACCUACUGAAGGCCUUUAGAUAGACCCUCUGUAGAGUAAUUCUGACUGCUGAUCACAACUACGACCCUCUUCAGGCAGAGGUAGCCACAUUGGUCUUUGUCCUUUGCCCCCUCACAGCAGUUAGGGGUACUUCUUCAGAGGGAAGAAUAAUGCAGAUAGGUAAGUUAAUUAGAUAUCUUGUAGGCAGGUAGACAGGGCCUCCCUUAAGGCACCAGCCCUCCAGGAGCCAACACAGCAAGGAGCCAACAUGGAGAGCAAUUGAGACACAUUCACUGGUUAGCAUUAUAAAAAGGAAAAAAAGUACUACUUCCCCCAGAGAUAGAUAGCAGUGAUUGAUACUCUAAAUGGAAAAUUCCUUAUAUGUGAUUUGUGUUCCCAUUUAAUCCCCAUUUAAUCAAUAUUACCUGGGUGACUGUACUUCUAAUAUUAUUGGUUGGUCGUGGUUUUGUCCCACCUCAUGCCCACUUUGUAAAUUUCCAUUGGGUCUUAUAGUUUUCUCCCACUUUGUACCCACCUCACCACAUGGCUUUGCUGUAUAAAACAUCUUUGAACCAUGGGGUGGGUGGGCAGCCCACCUUCCGGUCCCCCUUCUGACUCUCUUAUGCAGAAGCUUUCUUUCUCUCAAUAAAUUUUUCCUACUCUUAAAAAAAAUAAGUGAGAUCUUUUGUGCUUCAAAUGGUACCAUCAAGGAAGCUAAAAAGAUAAAUCAUAAUGAGAGAAAAUAUUUGUAAAUCAUAUAACUGAUAAAAGAUAUCUUAGUCCAUCCCUGGUACUAUAACAAAAUACCUCAAACUGGUACUGUGUAAGGAAUAGAAAUUUAUUUCUCACAGUUCUGGAGUCUAGAAAGUCCAAGGUCAAGGUGUCUGCAGAUUUUGCGUCUGGUGAAGUUUCAUGUGCUGGUUCUAAAAUGGUAUCUAGUUACUGUCCUCACAUGAUGGAAAGCAGAAUGGCAAAAAUGAACUAUGUCUCUCCCUUGUGCACUUGUAUAAGGGCACUAAUCCUAUGCAUGAGAGUGGAGCUUAAGCUUAAUUAAGUUUAGGCUUAAUUGUCUUCCAAGGGCCCUAUGCCUUAAUAUUCUCACUGAAAUUCCAGCACACAAACGAUAAUGAGAGACUGAUAACCAAAGUAAAUGAAGAACACUUACAACUCAGUAAUAAAAAGACAGGGCCAGGAAUUUAGCUCAGUGGCACCACACCUGCCUGGCAAGCACAAGGUCCUGGGUUCGAUCCCCAGUACAAAAAUAAAUAAUAAUAAUAAUAAUAAUAAUAAUAAUAAUAAGACAACCCAAUUUUAAAAGUAGUCAAAGGGUCUGAAAAAAAUUUCUCCAAAGAAGAUAUACCAACAGACAGAAAUAUAUGAGAUGUUCAAAAUUAUUUCUUAUUAAGUGAACACAAAUUAAAUUCACAGUGAGAUACCAUUUAGUGCACACUAAGAUGAAUAAAAUCAGGAUAGACAAUAGCAAUUGUUGGUGAAGAUGUGGAGAAAUUGGAAUCCUCAUACACUGCUGGUAGGAAUACAAAAUAGCGUAGCACCUUUGGAAAAGUGUUCCUUAAAAGGUUGAAAUAGAGCUACCACAUGAGUCAGUAAUUCUACUCUGAAGUUAUAUCAAGAGAGGUUAAAAUAUGUGCCAAAAAAAUAGGAUAUAAGGUACAUGAAUAUUCACAGCAGCAUUAUUUAUUAAGUCCAAAAAGUAGGAGAAAAAAACACCACAAAUGUCCAUUAACCAAUGAAUGGACUCAUACAGUGGAAUAUCAACCAGCCACAACAAGGAAGGAAAUAGUAGGACAUGCAAUAACAUGGAUAAACCUUGAAAACACACUUCAUGAAAAAUGUCUGACACAAAAGGCCAUGAAUUACAUGAUUCUAUUUAUAUGAAAUCUCUUGAAUAGUCAAUUUUUUUUAUGGUACCAGGAAUUGAACUCAGGGCCUCAUGGUUGCCAGGCAGCCACUGUACCAUGGAGCUACAUCCCAACCCCUUGAAUAGUCAAAUUUAGAGAGAGAGAAAGUACAUUAGUGACUGCCAGAGGCCAGGAAAAAUGGAGGCUGUGGAGUGAUCGAUAACAGUGUUUCUUUUUGAGGUGUGAUGAAUAUGUUCUAACUUCAGACAGUAGUGGCAGUUAUACAAUUCUGUGAAUAUACUAAAAACCACUGAAUUGUAUAGUUUAAAAGAGUGAAUCAUGUGGUACACAUAUGAAACAGUUACCGUGUUUACCUGAAAAUAAUCACUGUUCUCUUGCUCAGUGGCUCCUCUGCAAGGCAGGUAAGGCAAAGAUAGGCUGACUGGGGCUGGGACUUUUGAUCUCUAGUUUUCUCUUUUUUUUUUUUCUCUCAGUACCUGGGAUGAAACUCAGGACCUUACACUUGCAAGGCAGGUGCAGUGCCACUGAGCUAAAUCCCCGGCUGAUCUGUAGUUUUCAAGACUGAUUAUUUUCUGACUAGGUCUUAUUUUUUCAGGGAAAGGAGUAUUAAAAAAAUAAAAAUUGUUUUGGGGACAACUCAAAAUGAGCUACUUCUCAAACUUAUUUUUGUAGAUUUAUGCAUCUUUGAACUAGAAAGAACUUUAGCAAUCUUGUUUUUAUUUCUGUUUGAGAAAAAACAACCAGUGAACUGUCUCACUUUGACUAAUGAAACAUAUCAUAUAAAUUCUCCUAACCUUCCUAUAAAGAUCAGAGGAAGCAAUAUGAGACAAUGUGCUUUGGAAACAGCUAGCCCUGUAAAUAUAUUGUAUUAUAGUGUUGUCAUAUUUUACAAUGUUACAGGCCAUAAAAAAGUAGAAGUAUGUGCCUUUGAAUUUUGGCUCCCUCCACUAGCUCUCCAUGCAGCUUUAAAAGAAUUUCAUGUCAUCUCUUCUCCAUACUUUAAAAGGGAUUAGAAUAUUAUAUGAGAAGAUUUAAAAGCAUUUGGAAAAAGCCCUGCUUCCUGAAAGUCUUCACUGAUUGAACUUGCUUCGAAAGGCCAUUUGUUCCCUCUUUUCUUUCAUCCUCCAGCUGCCUCUCAAAAACAGGAGGGGAAAGAAUCGAUGUUUUCUAUUUUAGUGCUGUCAAAGGCUAUAGCCAAACAGCUAAAAGCAGAUGACAGUGAUAUGGAGAUAUUUGCUUCUUGAGCUAUUGAAUGAAUAUUAAAGGAAUGAUCAAGAUAUCUUUUCCUACAUGAGCUUUUAAUGUUGAAACAAAAAUAGUGUAAGUGACACAUUUGCAAAGAAUUCUACAACACUGGAAAAAUAAUUGAACAUUAAAAUUGAGAAGAACAGCUAUGGAAAUAGGUGUAUGUGUUCCAAAUGGAAUAGAAGGGGAAAAAUGAGAUCACAAGUUAAAUACUCAAUUAUUAGGGGGAAAAAACCAUAACUUUGCAGUUCUUUAUCAUUCUAGGCAAUUUUUCUGGCAAGAUUACCAAAGUAAAAUGCUAGAUAAACCAGUUUCCAACAUUUCAGUCUAAAAGAAACUUCAAGAUGUCAGUGAAUUUGCCUUAAGCUGCUCAAAAUCUUCUUCAGGCUACAGAUCUAACAACAGUUGUUCAGAGGUGUUUAUUUUCCCUUAUUUUUAGUUCUUAAUCCAUUUCUGCUACUAUAACAAAAUACCCUAGACUGGGUGAUUUAUAAAGAAAGAAAUUUAUUUCUUACAGGUUUAGAAGCUGGAAAGUCCAAAGUCACAAGUUUGGUGUCUGGUGAAGCCUCCCUCUCUGCCUGUAAGAUGGUGCCUUGUCCUCUAGGGGCAGGUGAACACUGAGACCCCACAUUAGGGAAGGCAUGGAAGAGCAAAGGGCUAGUUCCCUCCACUCCCUUUAUAAGGGCAUUAAUCCAAUCCAAGGGCAGAGCCCUCCUGGCCUAAUUGUGUCCUACAGGCCUACAUCUUAAUAUUGUCAUACUAGGAAUUGCUUCAGUUUGAACUAUAGAGAGGACCCAAACAUUCAAACAAUAGCACAGUUUUUCUGUUUUUACACUGAGAAUAAAAUAUCCAGAAACUGAACUCUCUAGCUGCACCUGGUGGAAGGAUUAAUCAAACAUUUUAUGUCACCAGUAUAAUGUAGCUAUCAUUUAUAAAAUGCAGCCAUCAACAUAAUGGCUGGUUGGAUGCUGGAAUGAUUGUUUGCAAAAAGAUAGGGAACGUUUCCCAGAGGAGUGGAUAGUUUAAACCCAUAAUAGGGUAAGUAUAGGAUCUAGCUAGAUGAAGAAACAGGUUUUAGGGAAGCCCCCUGGGAAGAGGAGUCCAGAACUACCAGAAAGAACCAAAUCAUGCAGAGCCUUUUGACUCUACAAAGCAAUUUGGACUUUAUUCUGUGGGGUAGGGUUUGCAGGACCAUUGAAGAGUUUACCACUAGGUUAGACAAUGUGCUAAUUCCAUAGCAUCACCUCUUCUGAAAUACCUAUCAUUUCAGCCAGACUUUAUGAGCUAUUUCAAAGUGAGAUAUUUCUCACUAGAAACUUUAAAAAUGUAACUAUCAGACAAUUAUGCUGUAAUCCAUUUCUCUGUAGCUUAUUACCCUCAGACCUGCUUGCUGUCUGUGUUAUAGAUGCUUAUUUGUUUUGUCUUUGUGUCUGUGUGUGUAUGUAUGUGUGUGCCUGUUUCUGUUUAUAAAGUUACUCUAUUGCUACAUUUAUAAAAAUCAUUUUAGAAGCUAAUAAUCAGACUCCAAUUAGUUGGUGACAUAAUAGAUUAUUCAUUAAGUAUACCCACCAUUUUUCAUCCAAGUAAAUUCUAGCCAGAUCCAUACUAUGGCUUUAAAAAUUAGUCUUUUAGAAAAAGGAAACAGGUGAUUUAGGUAAACCAAAACAUCAAAGCUUCUUCCUUAAUACAAGGAAGAGGAAAUUGGUUACAAUAUGACAAUAUGUUGGGAAUCCUACCAAUCUUAGUUCCCAGAUCAAGUGACAAUAUUUGCACACUAUUUAUUUAGAAGAAGAGUAAAUAAUCACCCACACCUGGCCUAUCCCCUGGGCUACAUUCUAAGAUAGUUUUGGUGACACUGAGCCUAUAGAGGACAGGGCUGAGCUGUAGGUUAUGGGUUUCUGAUUAUAUGGAAGUCUUGCUAAUAGGAUUACUCCACAACAAACAUUUUCACCACGUAAAUCCUCCUUUGUCAUGACAGUGUUUUGUUCUAAACUUCCAGGCACUUAUUGAAAGCUACGAGAAGGGAGCCAGAGGCCCACCCAGAUUCCUUCAGUAAGAGCGAGCAGAUCCCUGUGAGAAGCCUACAUGGACCAGAGCUGCACUGGUGUGCACAGGUCCCAGCCAGGGCCCCACCCAGACCCCAGUAGCUUGAGCCCAUAGGCUCCAACUAAAGACCUGCUUUGAAAAGAGCUAUGCAGGCAAGGAAGCAACAGCCAGAGGCCCACCCAGAUAAUACUGCUAAGUGUGUACAGACCCCAGCUAGAAGCCCACUCAGACCAGCGACUUGGGUACAUGAUUCCCAGCCAAAGGCCCUCCUGGACAACAGCUACGCAGGGAGGCAGGCCCCAGCCAGAGGCAGGCCCAGAUACCAUCCCAAGUGUGCACAGGCCCCAGCCAGAACCCUGCCCAGACAACAGGGCACCCUAGGGAUCCAGAAGGCCACCAUUAUGAACCCAGGAAUUGCCACAGUGGUAAACAGCAGAAAAAAGGCCUUUCAGUGGCUUGCUGAGAAAUGAAAACCACUAGACAAGCAAAAAGUCACCUCAUCAAAGGUGUAACAGGCUGUAUCUGUGAAAUAAGAAGACACCUAAACAAGUCUCAAAACCAGACUUCCAGAUCACCUAAGGCAACCUCAAAGGGCAACGACAUGGAACAAUCUGAUACUCAACCACUUGGAGUCCCUGAACUGCCAACAAAAGAGAAUUCAGAAAAAAUGAAAUCAGAAAUAAUUUCUCAGAUAACAUCAAAGAUUGUGUCCAUAGUGCAAGAAAUGAUUAAUAACUUUAGAGCAGACACAGAUAAAAAAAAUAGAGGACCUGAGAAAUAAGCUGGAAUCCCAGCAUAGGAAAUAAAUGGAAUCCAUAAAACAAAUGCAAACAGAUUUCCAGGAGAUUAAAAACAUUGAUAAUUUAUGCAGCAGAAUGAGCCAAUGUGAGGACAGAAUAUCAGAUAUAGAAGACAGGAUUAAAAUUAGUGACCAGGAAAAAAAAAAUUUCUUAAAAAUAGUAAGGGACCAUGAGAAAUCAAUCCAGCAGCUGCUAGAUAUGCAAAGAAGUCAAUGAAGAAACAGAAGAGAGUACAAAUGACUUAAAAAAAACUGUUCACAGAAGUGAUGGCAGAAAACUUCCCAAGCAGGACAAAAGAACUUGACAUACAGAUAAGUGAGGCAUAUAGGACUCCAACUAGCCAGGAUCAAAAAAACCUACACCUAGACAUAUAAUAGUUCAGAUUCCAGAAACCCAACAGAAGAAUAAAAUUCUACAAGCAGUUAGAGAAACAAAUCACAUACAAAGGAAAGCCCAACAGAAUCACAGCAGACUUCUCAACACAAGCCCUCAAGGCAAGAAGACCCUGGAGUAAAGUAUUUCAAGCCCUAAAAGAAAACAACCUCCAACCCAGAUUGAUGUAACCUCCAAAACUAUCUUUCAAAAUCAAUGUAUAAAUAAGAUACUUUCAUGACAAAGAGCACCUGAGGAACUUCAUGAAUACCAAACCAGCACUCGAAAAAAUUUUAGAAAAUAUCCUAGGAAAAGACACCGAGAAUCACAACCCCAGGAAGCCCAGUAGAAUGAAUCCAUCAGGCACGACAAAAAAUUAAAUGCAAAGCGUGAGAAUCCAACAAAAAGAAAAAGUCAUGACAAGGAUAAGUCAAUACAUAUCAGUUAUAACCAUCAGUGUUAAUGGUCUCAAUUCACCAAUCAAAAGCUAACAGAAGGAAAAGAGAAACUACUCAAAACCUACUCUCAUUUAUCAGAAAGAACAAAAUCUCACUACAUACUAGACUGCACCUGCAUAUUAUAGCUUUAUUUUGAUUUUAUAAUAACAUACUUGUCACUACUUGAAAACACCUCCAAGACCAAUAAACAGUAAAGUCACAGGAACAAUCUACUCCUGACACUGUUUUAAACAACUUUGAUUGGGCAAUAAACUCAGUCAUUUGUACUUGUUAUCCACAGAACUAUUGUUUUCAUUUUUGUCUUGCUCUUCUGACACUCAGCUAUAACACCUCACUGAAAAUACGGGUAUAUUAGCAGCUGUCCACUGCAAUUUGGAAGGGAG
rnacentral:lncRNA from 1 species